ensembl:lncRNA
CUCGCUGCAGCCAGCCCUCUGUCUGCUAUUUACUUGCUGCCUGUUUUCCUCGUGACAGGCCUUCCAAGAACAUCAGAUCAAUGCAGCAGGUUCUGGUGCCCACAGCUCUCAGCCUUCCUCCCAUUGCCAAGGUUCAGCUGCUGCUUCCUGAAAGGCUGGGCAGGGGCUGAGCCACAUGAAAGCACAGCCCAGUGUGGGGGUGAGUCCUCAGCCCCCUGUCCCAGCUCAAGGCCUCGGGCAGAGGAGUCCAGGAGAGAAUGAACAGAGACACCCACCGUGGAAAGCAGGGUGUGCUCAGGAAGCCUGUCCUGCCCCACAUCCAGGGAGCACAUCAUGAACAGCUGGCAGGAAAACGGAAGAACAAAUAGGGGAACACAGGACUCACACCACAGAAUGCUGGCCAGCAAUACCACAUAACACAGGUGAAUCUCAAGAAUACAAUGUUGAAAGAAGCCAGACAAACCAAGAAGCACCGGAUGGCUCCCAACAGGCAAAACUGAUCUGGGCUGUAAGAAGUUAGCACGCAAUCAUCCUUGGGGUGAGGUGGCUGGAAACCAUGGGAAGGGAACGAAGGGUGUUCAGAUGGGCCAGGGAGGUUCAGUUGUGACAAUUAGUCAAGCUGAACAUACACUGAUCUGUGCCCUUCUCUGUAUGCUUAUUACAUGUUGACAAAAGGUCUAAAGAAACUGGUAUUUAUCUCAGAAGUAGAUUUCUGUUUUCUUUUUAUCUGUUCUUUCUAUAAUUGCCACACCAAACAUACUUUAUUUUUCAAUGAAUGAAUAAGAUGACAACAAAUGCAGUUACUCAUUCAUCAAAAUUGUGCAGUGCAGGACACUGGAGGGCGGGAGUGUCCCUGCCCUGAAGGAGCUCAUAGUCUUGGUGGGGCUGAGGAAAGGAUGUGAGUACAACCAGCAUCUGUAAACAAGCAGGCACAAGGCCAUGGCCAGCCAGCAGCUGGGUAUUUCAUCUACCCAGCAGGGCCAGCUCUCCCCUGUUGUAUGUGUGCACAAACACACACACACACAAACACACACACACACAUUUCCUUCAGCUUUACCUAGAGUCAAAUCCAUCAUUAAUGUUACUUGCCUGUCCCUGUGCUUCUGAGAGACUCUCUGAAUUAGAUACUGUAAUAAGCACUGUCUUGUAAAAGAAAGAUGGAUGAAGAGCUAAAACAGAGGGAGCAAAACUGUAGGGGGGGGCCUGGGGGAUUGUGCUCUUGACAGGAAUACACAUAUGUGGUUAAUUUGCCACUCUAUAAAUAAAGCAAAGCUAAACCUAAGAAAACAGGAGGUGUAAUCUAAAUAUACAUGAAUAUUUAAAUUUAAAAAUUUUAUUAUAAUAAAAGACACAUUACUAUUAAUGCCCCUCAAAAUACUCCCCCUCACUUCAAACAUACUUAUUCCAUUAUUUUUGCCACUUUCUGAAGCAGUUCUGGAAAUCCUCUUUUGUGUCUUUGCAAGGUAUCAUCAAAAAUAAGUGAAUGAAAAAAAAAGUGAAUGUGCUUGCGAUGUGCCAUCUAAUGGAAAGGCAGGGUCAUAAAAACAUUAUAGUGUGUCCUCAUUGACCUUAUUCACUGAAUCUGGCACCAUGUGACUUCUGGUUCUUCCCCAAAGUCAAAAUGACCAUGAAAGGUAAACAUUUUGAGUUGAUUCAGAACAUCAAGGCAGCCACAAUGGUGCAACUAAAGGCACUCACAAAGGAGGGCUCCAGACCUGCUUCAGCCAGUGGCAAGAAUGAUGGAAUAAUUCUAGUGGUGAUGUGUCUUUUAUCAUCAUAAUAAAGUUUUUAAAUUUAAUGUUCAUCAGGUAUUUUGAUCACACUUCAUGUGUACAGGAUCUAUAUGAGGAAAACUACAAAAAUGAUGAACAAAAGAACUACAUAGAUGGAGAAAUAGCCCAUGUUCAUGGAUAGAAAGAAUCAAUAUUGUCAAGAUGUUGGUUCUUUCCAACUAGAUGCAGUUCUAAGUAAAAUCCCAGCAAGCUAUUUGUUGGAUAUGGACAAGCUGAUUCUAAAGUUUAUAUGAAAAGACAAAAGACAUAGAAUACUCAAUAUAAAAGGGAAAGAGAAGAACAGAGUCUAGGGCGGACACCACCAAACUUUAAGACUUAUUACUAUAGUAAUGAAGUCAGUAUGAUAUUGGAGAAAGAACAGACAAAUAGAUCAAUGGAACAAAACAGAGAGCCCAGAAAAACAGAUCUUCAUAAACAUAAUUAACUGAUCUUUGACAAAAGAGCAAAGACAACACAAAAGAGCAAAAAUAUUUUACUUUUUAGUAAACAGUGCUAGAACUGGACAUCCAUAUGGAAAAACACUGAUCUAGACACAGUCUUUUUGCUUUUUACAAAAAUUAACUAAAAAUGGAUAUAGACCUAAGUGUAAAAUGCAAAACUUUUAUCAAAUUCCUAGAAGAUAACAUAGGAGAAAGCCUACAAUAACCUUGGACAUGGUGAUGACAUUUUAAACACAGUACCAAAGACAUCAUCUAUGAAAGAACUGACUUCAUUAAAAUGAAAACAAAAAACUAAAGACAACAUCAAGAGAAGACCGGAAGAAAAUAUUUGCAAAAGACACAUCUGAUAAAAGACUUUUAUCCAAAAUAUACAAAGAAUUCUCAAUACUUAACAAUAAGAAAAUUUUCUGAUUUAAAAAUGGUUCACUGACCUUAAAAAGUAGAUGUACAGCAUAGACAAACAAGCAUAUGAGAAGAUACUCCACAUCAUGUCAUCAGGAAGACAUAAAUUAAAACAAUGGGAUACCAUGACACACCUGUAAAUUAGAAUGGCCCAAAUCCAGAACACUGACAACACCAAGUGCUGGUGAAGACAUGGAACAACAGGAACUUCAGUCAUUGUUGGUAGGAGUGCAGAAUGCUAUAGCCCUUUGGAAGACAGUGUAGCAGGCUCUAUCAAAACUAAACAUACUUGGGCCAGGGAUUUAGCUCAGUGGUUCCACCGCCUGCUUUGCAAGUCCAAGGUCCCAAGUUCGAUCCCAGGUACCAAAAAAAACCCUAAACAUACUCUUACCAUAUGAUCCAGCAAUUAUGCUCCCUAGCAUUUGUCCAAAGGAGUUGAACACUUAUGUUCACACAAAUACCUGCACAUAGAUAUGCAUAGCAAAACUUGGAAUUAACUAAGAUGUCCUUCAGAAGGUGAAUAGAAAAAGAAACUGUGGUACAUCCAGAUAAUGGAAUUUCAUUCAAAGAAAUGAACUAUCAAUGGGAGGGGGGCACACACAUGACAAAGUGAAAAGCCAGUCUGAAAGGCUUCCAUGGUAUGAUCCCAAGUAUAUCGCAUUCUGGAAAGGACAAAGUUUUGGGACAGUAAAACAAUGAAUGACUGCCAGGCACUGAGGGGUGGAGGGUGUGGAUAACUGGAGCACAGAGGAUUUUAAGACAGUGAAGCUACCCUGUGUGAUACUGAAAUGGUGGACAUGUAUCAUUUUACACUUGCCCAACUCAUAGACUACUUGAUGCUAAGGGCCAACCCUAACACAAACCACAGACUCUAGGUGAUUAUGAUGCAUCCUGUAAGUUCAUCAGUCCAUACAGAUGCAUCAAUUUGAUAAUGCUGUGAACCUAAAACUGCUCCAAAGAAGAAAUACAGUCUUUUAAAAAAGAAAAGAACUUCCAGACAUGUCAACAGGAGCCCUACUACUUAUGUGGGGCUCCAUGCAUACAUGCAGCACCUACUUGAGCAGGUGCCUUCCCAUCACUCUCUGGGUAGCUGAGAUUCUGUUUCUGGGUUCCUCCAAGACAGGAGAGGAGGGGUGAGGAACCAGAGACCUACAAACUCCUUGCAAGACCAACAGGCACAGUGUGGAAGUAUGUGCCUAGGCUUAGCUGGGCCUCAGUCUGGGAAGGAAGGUAAAGAGUCCCCAGGCAGGCAUCCUCCAUGAAGAGACCAGCCCUCUCCUCCCUUCCACACAGGUGCCAAGGAAACGGGGUGAUAGAGACAUCAAAAUCCCACCUUCGGGGUCCUGCAGGGACUGAAGUCUAUGCAGGGGUUGUCUACUACCUUCGGAUGGUGACUUUCUUUUGGUACAGGCCGAAUUGUGUCUACCAGUUUCUAUACUGAGGUCUUGAGCCCCAGUGCUUCAGAAUGUGACCAUUUUUAGAGAUAAGACCUUUAAAGAGAUAUUUAAGGUAAAAAUGAGAACAUUACAGUGGGCCUUGAUCCAGUCUGACUGGUGUCCUCACAAGAAGAGGAGAGAAAUACACAGACGUAUACAGAAGGAACAGAAGACACAGAAAAAUGACGGUUAUCUACAAGCUGAAGAGGGAUGCCUUAAAACCAUGUUGGUUCCUUGAUCUGACUUCCAACCUCUGAAUUAUGAGAAAACACACACACACACACAGACACAGACACACACACACACACACACACACACACACACACACAUCAAUGUUUUCUUCAUGGUUGGCCUUGGGCAGGGGGUUGAGACCUACAGAGAAGUGAUGCCCUAGGCUGGGUGAUGCCUAAGGGCCAACCCACCAGAUGACUAGGAGCCCACCAGAUAGACCAAGUAUGGAAAGCUGCUGUGAACAGGGAGAAUCACUCGGAACAGGGGGAAUAAUGCUGCCCUCUGGAAGCUGUGCUAUUUCAACAUAGUAGAUCUGGUAAUGAGCCACAAGGGAGAGUCAGCCAAGGUGAAACUGGACAGGUGAGCAGCAGCUACAAUGUACUAGGUGUCAGGCGCCUAUUUAUCUUCACUAAGCCCAACAACUCCAUUCUGCAGAUAGGAAAAUUAAGGCUCAGAGGUGAUGGCAUUGGUUUAGUGCAUAUGGCAGAGCUGGGAUUUGAACCCAGACAGAGUCUGACUCCAGAGCCACACUCUUCACCCUGAGAUUUCCCCUCCUCUCCCAUAGGAGAGCCAUAGGGCAGGCACUAGAGCACCCUGUCUCCUCUCACAGGUCUGCCUGCAGCUGCUGGCCUGGUCCUCAGCAGGCUCAGCAGUCAGAAAAGGAGGGAGCAGAGUUGAACUGGGAGAGCAGAGCAGAAAAUGGAUGCUGCUCUGGGUCCCCUGAGAGCUCAAAGUUUGGGCUGAAGGCUUUCUGGAAAAAAAGCUCACUGUUGCAGGCAUCUCCACAGUCACCCUGGGUGAUGCCUGACACUUCACCGCAGCACUGGCUGACAAGCAUCUUCAAAGGACAGAAAUCGGCCGGCUUGCUGGCUUUUAUACAGUUGUCAUUCAUCCACAGGAAGCACUUUUCCCCGCGCAUUGUGAGAGUUAUUUUGGUUUGAGGAAGCCAACCUCAGUACAAAUCCAAGAAAGAAAUAAAAGAGGGGGGGGGAGCAACUCCGCCAAAAUUAGAAAAAGUGGUGUGUGGGUAAACUGCACACAAAACAAUCUUUUUCAAGAUGAUCUUUUUUGAGAUCAAAGAUAAUGGUGGGAGAAUUGUGCUGAGAACAUCAGCAGGUGCAGCAGGCUGCAGGGGGCAUGGAGAACUUUGCAGGUGUCUGCAGGCCACUUUUAAUAAGCGGGCAGAAUCCAUGGCCAAUGUGCCAGACUUGCUGGGCUACGGUACGACAGAGAAAGAAGAUGGAUGACUUCUGCUAGGGAGUCUCAAGUGGCUUCUGUGGGAACUUAUUUCUCAGGUGGAUUCUGAUAUGAACACAGCCAAGUCACUGACCAAAGGUUCCUACAGAGAGAGGAAGUUUCAAAUCCUUAGGGAAGUGGGCUUCCGCCAUGGCUCCAUCCUGGCAUACAGUGUGACCUCCCUCUGGCCCUUCAUUCUUUUUUUUUUUUUCCAGUACCAGGGAUCGAACUUAGGACCUUUUGCUUGUGAGGCAGUCACGGUGCCACUGAGCUAAAUCCCUGGCCUGUCCCCUUCAUUCUUAACAUCAUGUUCUUCAAGUAACAGGGCACAUGGAGCCGGGUGAUGGUUCACCUUUGUAAAAACUUGAUUGUGCAGAAUGGAGUGGCCAAGAAUUCCCAGACCCUUCCUUGGGGAGACAUAUUUAGGGAGGUGUUUCUGAUCUAGGUGAUAGAAACAAUCUGAAUGAGCUGAGACAAACAAACAAAAGGACCAAGGUGGGCUCCUAUAACCAAACUAUAAAGAAACAGGACAAAGUGGCCUCAGGGAUAAUUUAACCAGGCUCUGUCUCUCUCGGCCUCUCCAUGAAAGCUGGUUUUGCUGUAUCCCCAAGAAGCUAUCCAUAAACCUGACUAGAGAGAAAACAGAGAACUCUCUCUGUUCCAACUGAAAAAUCCCAGAGAAUUCUGAUUGAGUCAUGUGACAGCCCCUUAAACCAGUCACUGUGGUCAGAGGGAUGGGGUACUAGGAUUGACAGCUCCCUCCUCUCCCUGGGUCAAGUCACAUACCAGGAAGUAUGAAAGUCACUGCAGGAGUGGGGGUUGCAGAGCAGGCACCCCUAAGAUGCAUCUGCUACAUAAUGGCCCUUGCCCUUUGCCUGGUUUUGCUGUUUCAUGAGCAGCCAAGGCCCAUCCACUUCCCCAGCCUGACUUCUCCAAGUCCAUUAUCAUGGGAGGCCAACUCACAAUGGUCAUUCCAGUCACAAGCAGGAACACUCAUUGAAGACUCAGUGGCCUAGGUGCUCUACCAACUGCGCCCCCUGAAUGAUCUCACUAGACGCUUACAGGAAGCCCUCUGUCACCCCCAUCUUAGAGAUGAGGAAGCUAAUGCUCAGAGAGGUACAGGGGCUUGUGAAGAUGACAGCCUAAAAGAAGCAGAACUGGGAGUGGAACCUGAUUCCAGUGGAUUUCAAAGCCAGUGUUCUUAACCUGAACCUUGACACCAUUCUGACCCCCAGAGAAAAAACCUGGAGGGAGACAAGUCCCCCUAGAGUGGUACAGGAGGUUUACAUGCUGGGAUAGGGAGAGGUCCCCAGGUACACUGACCAUGGGCAGUGAAUUCUAGUAAAGACUCUUGCCCCUUGUAGAGAGUGAACACUCUCAUGCCUCACCCAGUGGGGUGCUGAACUGGACUCAAACUCCUGGCAAUAAGUAAGAUGGAGAGCCCCCAGGGCAGGGUAGUUUGUGGUCCCUAUGAGUGACUCUGACCUCAGGGUUAGUGACAAGUGUCUGGUCACCAGAGAAGCAGGGGGGCUGCCAGAUACUCUAAAGAAGAAGCAAAAACUCAACUUUUCUUUCAGUUCUGAGGACUUCUGUAUUGGGCAACACAGGAGGCAAUAUAACCUGAAAUGCCACUCCCAAACACCCUGAGAAGCUGCAUGGAGUGGACCAGCACCCUAGAUAUGUAGGUCAGCUCCAUGAGAAAGUAAGAGAAAUUCCCAAGGCCAAAACUAAAGAGGAAGUGCAAAAUUAGAGCACUAAGUAGGAGAACUGACACUUCCAUGCCCUCUGCACCAGAGGGAUGGCACAGGUGCCCAUCUCGGUAUUCAGGCAUCUUCUGCCACCUGCAUAACAGUGUGAGCCAGAGCACUUCUGUCCACUAAUACUAGAAAAAGACAUAGCUUGAUCAGUAUCAGCCUUAUUUCUAGACUAGAAAAUCAAAAAGAAGUCUCCCCUGCGAAUCUGUCCCCAUGGAGUUCAAAGUGAUACAGUACCGUCUCUGGCAUUCUGUGACUUGAGUGUGCAGCACAAUCACCUGCAUGGCUUGCUUGCUAAGCGAGGGACUCCUGGAUCCUGGCCCCACCCCUCAACCCCAAUUCCAAACUCAGUAGAUGUGGGUGGGAGCCUCAGAAUUUGCAUGUCAACAAAUUUCCAGGGAAUGCUGAGGCUGCUGGCCCAAGGACGACACUUUGAGAGCUACUGCUCCCAGCUAAGAAAUUAAUUUAAAAAUUUAUUCUCUCUUGGAACACUGCUGGACAUUAAGCAAAAGCAAAUACAAAAUCCCUCGAGCACAGGGGUGAAUAAUCUAUGACCUUUGAGCUAAAUCUCAUCUACCCAGGGGCCAGAUCCAGCCAUACUCAUUGGUUUAUGGCUGCUUUUGCACAAUGAAAGAGUCAAGCAGUUGCACAAGAGAGACUGUAUGUGGACUUCAAAUUCAAAAAUAUUUAUUAUUUGCUGACUUCUAGUUACUAGGAUCAAUGCAGGUCACACAGAAUUCCAGAGAUACAAUCCUACCUAAGGUGACCUCUCAAUCCAAAAGUACAAAACACACGAGGCACUACCAUGUGCAAGAAUCAACAGACACAAGAGCAGGAUCAGACUUAAGAACUUCAGACAAUGGAAUUAUAACACAUAACACUCUAAAAGCAAUGAUGGGGCAGAGUCUACACUUAGCAGUUCUUAGGUCUUCACCAAGAGUAAUGAUGAUGCCAUUUACUGAGUGCCUACUAUGUGCCAGACAGUGGGCCCAUUCUUUAUGUAGCUCAAUGCUUUUCUUUUCCACAUGAAGGUAUAAGCCUGAGGUCAGAGAGGGGUCUCCACUUGCCUAAGCCGACACAGCAAAUCCAAGGCAGAGCCAGGAUGAAACUCACACCCUGGGCUGAAACCAAGUUCUUGCAGUUUCCAAAUGCUAUGCCUCACUUCCACCCUAGAGCAAGGUGACCUGAAAUGGAAAUAAGGAGCUCUGAACUUAGGACACAUGGCUAGAUCUGGGGGAGUCUACAACCCCUUAAAACAAUAUGCAUAAUGCUGGAUGUCUCUAUCAGGUGUCUGAAGAGGAUUGGCAACUUUCAUCUGGUUCUCAAAGUCAAAGAACCAAAGCUAUCCAGACCCCAAUGCAAGCCUUCUGUUUAUUCUGUAACAGAAUUACAUUCAUAAACACAUCCUAAGGGUUUGCUUGUUUAAAUCCCACGUGGGUCCUACAAGAAGUUCUUUCAUCAGCCCACUUUACAGAUGAGAAAACUGAUGCCACACAGGCAUCAAAGAAUUUGCCUCGGGUCGCACAAUUAGCAAGUGCCAGACAGGGACCCCCAAGUCAAACUCUCUCACCUGCAGCCUUUCCACCUUCCAUGCAUCCUCUUGCUACCACCAGCAACCAGCCUUCGCGUUCAGGAUCUAGUCACACGUCUACACAGGCUAGAAGGCUCAGGGUCUUUCCUGCCCGCCUCCUAUGCCUACAAACAGGAGGCUCCUUCUACCCUGACUUUGGAAUGAUUCCCCUUUCCUAAUUCCAAUCUCCACAUCCAGAGGCUGUGCCCAAGGCCAGCCAAUGCAAACAGCCAUUUCUCAGAAAGUGCAUGUUCCGGGCGGGCCAGGGAUUUAGCUCAGUGGUUCUACUGCCUGCCUCGCAAAUGCAAGGACCCGAGUUCGAUCCCUGGCACCCCCCUAAAAAAAGAAAGUACAUGUUCCUCUGUUCCCCACCACCUUGCCUGCCACUGGCCCAGACACCAAGUACUUGCUUGGCUGGUGCCAUGCUCAGCAAUAGCUAAACAAUUUACCCAGUUUUUCAGAAUGAGCAAUAUUUACUCAAUAGCCCAGAAUGGCUCAUAUGGAACUAUUAAACCCCAUUGCCUCCGUCUGCAGCUCACAGUGCAAUAAUGAAUCAGUAUUUGGGAGCGAUUACGAUGCUAAUAAGAAUGUGUGAGGCACAAAAUAUCACGAAGCAAGGGUUGCCCCGGAAUCCCCUGAACUCCCAGCUCCCAUUCGGGAACCUCACCGCGCCAGACACCAUCCUGCCUGAGAGCUCUUGGCUCCCAGGGUGGCCACACUUGAUAUGAGAACAGAUGAGAGGCAAGAGCACAGAAUCUUGCAGAGUCCGGACCCCACCAUGCCAGCCUUUACCAGGCUUUGGAGGGGUGGGAGGCAAUGGUGGUCCCAUCCCAGCAGCCCCAAAAUCCCAGAACCCCCUUUUCUGGCAGGGCCUGGAGUGCUCACAAGGCAUUUCGUACACUCGCACAGAAGAAAAUACUUGUUCCCUCGGGCUGCGCGCCUGAAGCUAUGUUGGUUUUGAGUUGGAGUUUUUUGGGGGGGGUUGGAUCUUUUUCACAAGCCCCUAAAUAAAUAAUGAAUGGCAGAAAGGAAGCAUAUAUUUGAUAUUGUACCCACCCCACCCCCCGCAAUCUGCCCAAGGAAAGCACUUUUCUCCAGCCCCUACGCUGCCUUGCUGCAUCCCAGAGACUGACGGAUCUCUUGGAUGCCUGGAGAGGCCAAGCAUGCCAGUCUCGGCCCAGAGGACAGUGGUGGGAGAAGUUGAGCUUCCUCCUCUUGCCACUUCUCCCACCCCAAGCUCUAAGCCUUCAAGUCUCUCCAGUCCUCCUCCUUGUCCAUUCCUCAACCUCUGCAGCCACUGUUCCCCUCUGUCCAGGAUACAGAACUCAGCAGGGUCUGAACUGGCCCAAUCCAUCUCCCAGCCCGCCCACUUCAUUGUCCCUCCCGCUGUGAUCCAGCCACACUGGCUGCCUUUCGUGUCCUGGAACUACAGCUGCACCCUCCCACUUCAGGACCUUUGCACAAACUGCUUCCUUCCGCUGCCCGAACUGUGCUCUUUCCUGACAUCCACACUAAAUCUUGGUCCUGCUAUAUAAGUGCCGCAUUCCUCUGCAGCCAUUAGUAGGGUUUGUAAUUUCAAAUGUGUGUGAUUAUUUGAUUAAUGUCAGAGUCUUAGGGGGGAGGUUACUUCUAAGCAUCAACAGUACAAAGAGGGCACGGAGCACGUCCAUUUUUAUCCCUAAGGCACACUGGGGACAUGGCCCGGGCCUGGCACCUAGUAGAUGCUGGGUAAAAACUUGUGCAAUAGACCACUGGCGGGCUGAUCAGUGCAGGCCCUGGCCAAGCCUACCCGCUCUGCAUCCUCCAUGCCACAGCCUCUUUGCUGAGUUGGGCCUGCAUCUUACACAUGACAUUGUUUUAUGUACUGCAAAGUGCCAUGUUCACAUUACAAGGCCCAGAUAAAUAUUUAAUCAGCCUAAAACACCAUGAACCCUCAGUGAGGAUGGCCCUGUGCCCUCUCUUUGGUUUAGCUGAGUGUGGGUAUGAGGGUAUGUGUGUGAUGUGUAUGUGUGUGUGCAUGUGUGUGUGCAUGUGUGUGCGUGUGCAUUCAUCUGGACCUCCACACAAGAGCCCCACAUAUUACAGGCAGAGAAGUACCCACAUCCCAUUCAUUCCUGGGUUAAGUAAGAACCAACCACACUCGAGCUCCAGGGCAAGAGAAUG